rnacentral:rRNA from 1 species
GACGAACGCUGGCGGCGUGCCUAAUACAUGCAAGUAGAACGCUGAAGGAGGAGCUUGCUUCUCCGGAUGAGUUGCGAACGGGUGAGUAACGCGUAGGUAACCUGCCUGGUAGCGGGGGAUAACUAUUGGAAACGAUAGCUAAUACCGCAUAAGAGUAGAUGUUGCAUGACAUUUGCUUAAAAGGUGCAAUUGCAUCACUACCAGAUGGACCUGCGUUGUAUUAGCUAGUUGGUGAGGUAACGGCUCACCAAGGCGACGAUACAUAGCCGACCUGAGAGGGUGAUCGGCCACACUGGGACUGAGACACGGCCCAGACUCCUACGGGAGGCAGCAGUAGGGAAUCUUCGGCAAUGGACGGAAGUCUGACCGAGCAACGCCGCGUGAGUGAAGAGGGUUUUCGGAUCGUAAAGCUCUGUUGUAAGAGAAGAGCGAGUGUGAGAGUGGAAAGUUCACACUGUGACGGUAUCUUACCAGAAAGGGACGGCUAACUACGUG